ACAUUGAAACACCGGUACUCGUAAGAUCACUGAAGAUAAGUAAUUUAGAACCUUGUCAGUACGUGGAUGGGUGACUGCCUGGGAAUACCAGGUGCUAUA